rnacentral:rRNA from 1 species
UACGUAGGGUGCGAGCGUUGUCCGGAAUUAUUGGGCGUAAAGAGCUCGUAGGCGGUGUGUCGCGUCGGCCGUGAAAACCUGCAGCUUAACUGUGGGCGUGCGGUCGAUACGGGCAUCACUGGAGUUCGGCAGGGGAGACUGGAAUUCCUGGUGUAGCGGUGAAAUGCGCAGAUAUCAGGAGGAACACCAGUGGCGAAGGCGGUGCUCUGGGCCGGAACUGACGCUGAGGAGCGAAAGCGUGGGGAGCAAACAGG